rnacentral:lncRNA from 1 species
CCCCAACUGCAAAAAUACCUCAGCAAAUUCCAAAGUCUUGAAGACUUCUGAGUAGAUCCCCCCGUGGGUGAGGAGGCCAACCACAAGCAACACUCAGUGGUAGCAGGAGGUGGCAGGGGUGAGGGCAGGAAGCAGUGCCCCUCUCAGUCUCCCAGCAGACCUGCCACCAUGAUCAGCCAGCCCUCUAUACCACCCACUGGCCAGCCCAUCCUGGAAGAUGCCAAGUGGACAAGCCAGCACUCAGACACACAGAUUUGGGAAAGUGAAAAACCAUUUAGCCCUGGGGCUUGAG